rnacentral:rRNA from 1 species
UACGGAGGGUGCAAGCGUUAUCCGGAUUCACUGGGUUUAAAGGGUGCGUAGGAGGGCAGGGAAGUCAGUGGUGAAAUCUCCGGGCUUAACUCGGAACGGCCAAGUGAAACUGUCAAGCUAGAGUGCAGAAGGGGCAAUCGGAAUUCUUGGUGUAGCGGUGAAAUGCGUAGAUAUCAAGAGGAACACCUGAGGUGAAGACGGGUUGCUGGGCUGACACUGACGCUGAGGCGCGAAAGCCAGGGGAACAAACGGG